UACGAAGGGGGCUAGCGUUGCUCGGAAUCACUGGGCGUAAAGCGCACGUAGGCGGAUUGCUAAGUCAGGGGUGAAAUCCUGGAGCUCAACUCCAGAACUGCCUUUGAUACUGGCGAUCUUGAGUCCGGGAGAGGUGAGUGGAACUGCGAGUGUAGAGGUGAAAUUCGUAGAUAUUCGCAAGAACACCAGUGGCGAAGGCGGCUCACUGGCCCGGUACUGACGCUGAGGUGCGAAAGCUAGGGGAGCGAACAGG
rnacentral:rRNA from 1 species